GUGGGUGGUCUUCUCGCACCAGGUUUGUAUGAUUUGUGUGAUAUGGGUUUACCUGAUAUGGCUUGUUGCAUGCAUGAGUGAGCAUAUGGUACCCUCUUCUCAUAUUUAUAUUUUGGACUGUCCCUAAAAUAAAUCUAGUUGGUUGGAAUAGAGUAUCUUCUCUGUUCCUUGUCUUGUGUUUUUGGGCAGCUUGCCCUCUUUCACACAGAUGAAAGUUGAGUAACAGCUUUCAUUUGUCUUGCUACAAUCUCGUUCUUGAAGAAUGUUCUUUUAAUCCAAACCAUGUCAAGUUUUUUGGCACUUAAUAUAAAUUUGCUUGUGGUUGGCUAGCUAAUUGGAGGAACCAUGUUGACAGUUCUGGCAGAGUUGAGUAGGAAACUAAGAAUGAUUCAUCUCUUAUUUCCAUUGGAGCUAAUUAUUGUCUUCG
rnacentral:misc_RNA from 1 species